GUGUCUUGUUUAGUGUCGUUAUGAAAUGUUACACUAGCCGUUUGGCUCGUUAAAGGACUCCAAGAAUACACAAAAAGCAGCAACUAAACAUUUUAAUCCUGGGGACCUGGAUGUGAACCUGAGUGGCAGAUCUUUUGUGAUCACUGGGGCCAACAGCGCCGUUGGAAAAGCUACUGCCCAUGAAAUAGCCAAAAUAGAUGGGACGGUCCACCUAGUGUGUCGUAACAAGGGACGGGCAGAGGAGGCAAAAGAGGUCAUUGUGGAACAGAGUAAAAACCAGAAUGUCCAUGUUCAUAUUGUUGGCAUGUCCAGUGCAAGACAAGUGUGGGAAUUUGCUGAACGUUUUGCAAAAAGCAACAUCGUACAUUUACUGUCUGGCCUGUAGAACUCUAUCGUGCUCUGCUAUGGCAUUUCUGCUGUCUCUCUCCAUCCUCUCCAUCAGCUGGUUCACAUUCUCCUCAUAUGUCCUCUGCUGGUCCGCUCUCAACCUCUCCUGGACAACCAGCUGCUCCUCCAUGGCUCGAUUCUCCCGCUCAGAUGCCUCCCUUCUUGCUUGCUCGGCUAAAGAGGGAGAGAGUAUGAGUGACAGAGAGAGACCAAGGGAAAGAGAGUGAUAGGCUACCUGCGGCAGGAGGAUUGGACUGGAGGAUUCUAUAUUAAAACCAAAAGCCAUCUCAUGGGUCUCCAGGUGGCAGCUGGCACGGGUAUCGAACCUUGCGUCUGUAGCAACGCAUUUUGCACUGCGGGAGCCCCUAUUCACUCCGGAGCCCCCAUCCACAAAGUAUCAAAAUACAGAGAGGUGUUGGUAAAGGUAUAUUGUCCUGCUAACAUCCCAUAAUACUGUACAUGGUGUCCAGGUCAGGAUAACCAAAACAUGUCUUUAAUAAAAGGCUAUCAGAAAGAAUGUUGGUACUUAUUUAUUUUGAUCCAAAGCCAUGAAUGAGUGAGUUACUCAGCUUUAUGUAGGUGCCGCUAUAUGAAUGUGCCAUCAACUUGAUAAUAUAUAACAAUAUUUAUCCUUGGGGUCCCUUGAUACCAAUUGGGCAAAGUUUGAACGCCACACUUUGUGGAAUCCAUGCCCCAAAGAAUUUAGUCUCUUCUGGAUAAAAUUGGGGGUCCAACCCGAUUCCUGAUGGGCGUACCUAAUAAACUGGACACGGACUAACUUAUAUACAGUGCAUUCAGAAAGUAUUCAGACCCCCUGGUCACCUCCCUGACCAAGGCCCUUCUCCCCUGAUUGCUCAGUUUGGUCGGGUGGCCAGCUCUAGGAAGAGUUUUGGUGGUUCCAAACUUUUUCCAUUUAAGAAUGAUGGAGGCCACUGUGUUCUUGGAGACCUUUAAUGUUGCAGAAAUGUUUUGGUACCCUUCCCAGAUCUGUGCCAACACAAUCCUGUCUCUGAGUUCUAUGGACAGUUCCUUCAACUUCAUGGCUUUUCCUCUGACAUGCACUGUCAACUGUGGGACCUUAUAUAGACAGGUGUGUGCCUUUCCAAAUCAUGUCCAAUCAAUUGAAUUUACCACAGGUGGACUCCAAUGAAGUUGUAGAAACAUCUCAAGGAUGAUCCAUGAAAACAGGAUCCACCUGAGCUCAAUUUCGAGUCUCAUAACAAAGGGUCUGAAUACUUAUGUAAAUUAGGUUUCUGUUUAUUGUAAUAAGUUAGCAAUAAAAUAAAAUGUUUUUGUCAUUGCGGUAUUAUGUGGAGAUUAUUGAGAAAAAAAGUAUAUAUAAUCAAUUUUAGAAUAGUGCUAUAACAUAACAAAAUGUGGAAAAGGGAAGGGGUCUGAAUACUUUCCGAAUGCACUGUAUACAUACAUACAUACAUACAUGCAUACAUACAUACAUACAUACAUACAUACAUACAUACAUACAAAACAUUAGAAACUGCAUGGGUCGUACUCUUAUUAUAAUUAACUGUGUACAGAACAUUAGGAACACCUGCUCUUUCAAUGACAGACUGACCAGGUGAAUCCAGGUGAAAGCUAUGAUCCCGUAUGGAUAUCACUUGUUAAAUUCAUUUCAAUCAGUGUAGAUGAAGGGGAUGAAAUGAGUUAAAUAAGGAUUUUGAAGCCUUGAGACAAUUCGAGACAUGGAUUGUGUGAGUGCCAUUCAGAAGGUGAAUGGGCAAGAUAAAACUUUUAAGUGCCUUUGAACAGAGUAUGGUAGUAGGUGGCAGGCGCACCAGUUCGUGUGUGUCAAGCAAGAACUGCAAUGCUGCUGAUUUUCUCAAGAGUUUCCAGUGUGUAUCAAGAAUGGUCCACCACCCAAAGCACAACCAGCCAACUUGACACAACUGUGGAAAGCAUUUUGAGUCAACAUGGGCUAGCAUCCCUCCCUGUGGAAUGCUUUUGACACCUUGUUUAUUCCAUGCCCUGACGAAUUGAGGCUUUUCUGAGGGCAAAGGGGGUGCAACUCAAUAUUAGGAAGGUGUUCAUAAUGUGUUGCGCACUCAAUAUAUAGUUGUGGUAGUGAUGGAUGUAGUAGCGAUGGAAGUAGUAGAAAUAGUAGUACUACUUGUAGAAGAAGUAAAGGAAAUUGUAGUAGUUGUAGUGGUGCUGGUAGUAGUAGUCGUAGUAGUGGUGGGGCACUGGUGGUAGUAGAGGAAUUGGUUGUAGUAUCAGUGGUAGUAGAGGAAGUGGUUGUAGUUGAUACUCAACUG